rnacentral:tRNA from 7 species
GUUUAUAUAGUUUAAUAAAAACAUUACAUUUUCAUUGUAAAAUUAAAAAUCUUUUUUUUAUAAAUU